GCUGAUGGACCAGGCAGCCAGAACAGGUGACCACUGCUACAACAGUGAUCUGUUUCAACACUACUGCAAAAAAAACCUCCUCACAAUCUGCUCUACCUAUAACCAAUAGAAAGAAUUCUCCACUUCUCCCCUGAUGUACCUGAGAAGUCUAGUCCAGUUCUGAUAACAUGAGCCACAGCAGCCUGCCUUCCUCUGACCAGGGAAGAUGACCCUGGCUAAUUUCCCAAUCAACAGCAUCGGAGAGCUUUCCUCUCACAACGAUUCCUAGCAAACCUGCCAGCUCCUGGCUAUAAGGUCAAGGGUUCUGCCCUAUGAAGCAAAGGAUAAGGACUCCAGCAGAGCAAAAUUCUGGAGGAACUAAGCUGUUAGCAUCACUUCCCUUCUCCUAAUACACAAGUCUGGGCAGAACCACCUAUUCUCCGGCAAGCAAAAGGGGAGGGAGCAACAUCCAUUAUCAACCUUCCCUACCAAACUGCGACUGGUUUAACCCGCACUCUGGAUCUACAGCAGCCCAGCGAAGCCUCGGAGCAGCCGAACUUCCACCAGACUCUUUUUGCGGAGGAAAGGGAAGGGAAAAGGCAGAGGGCGGGGAAGGGGACGAGACGCCAAAGUACCUUCCAACCAGCCGAGCUAUUGCUGUCUCCUUUAUCCUUAAAAUAAGGGACGAAUCGGACCAUCCAGUCGUAGAUCUGUGAGAGGGUGAGCCGCUUCUCCGGGGAGCUCUCGAUCGCCUUCGUGAUGAGGCAGGACCAGGCUUUUUGCAGCCAAACUUCGUCCAUAGUUCCUCUGAAGGCUCUUGACGCCUGGCACCUCCACACUGCGUCUUCUCCUGAGCCCUUCACUACCUGCGAGAGAGAAAACACCUUCCUUCCUCCCCUGCGAACUUCUCAACUGUACGGCCGGAGCUGGCUAGCGGCGCCUUCUGAAUCCUGCCUGCCCGUCUUUUGAACCUGGGAACUUCCAACUUCCCUAGAAGGAUUCGUUCGCCCUUCCUUGUCUCUCACGGGCUUUCAACUUUUCAUGCCUUAAAAAAAAGAAACCUUAUUAAGCCUCGUGGCUUCCCAGCUGCAUGCCGCACGGGCGGCUAUCAAGAAGACGCAGUUAAGACUUUUGACCGACGGCACCUUAAUACCCUCGCAUCUCUAGACGUGCAUUGGCAGGGAUGCCCCUCCCGGGGGACACCCAGCUGCCCCGGCUCCCUCCUCCUUUCCGCCAUCGUUCUUCAGCCUUUUUGUGCAGCAGCUGUGUAGUACGUGUUUGUGUGUGUUUUUUUUCUCUUCCAGAUUGUUACACUGACCUGACCUAAAUGCCGCCUCCUGAUUGGAAGGAGAGCAAUACAGGAGCCAGGCCUCAGCGAUCUUUCAUUGGCUGAGUCCCAGCCUGCGUUCCAAAAACGGGAGAGAGAACGCCUUUGGCGAGCGGAGGGAACCUCCCUCUGUGACGUUACUUGAUUUACCCGCGGGUAACCCAGGGCAACGAGCAGGGCCGGCAGCAGCUAAGCCCCGCCCACCAGUCGCUCUCCAUUCAUAGGGACAGCAAGCAAUGCCCCGCCCACAUUGGCGACAAGCCUGCUACUCGCCCUUUCCCGCCCUCUAGCAAAUUCGAAGUAUGUGGUGGGCUUAGGGACGCCUAUCCCGUUUCGUAGCCAAGUCGUGCCGCCGGUCCGGUGUAAUUUUUCCCCAACUAUGCGUCCUGAACCAGAAUUUUAACAAUCGAUUUUAAUCUUCCGUAUUCGUAGGCCAAGGGGACAGCGGACUAAUUCGCGUUUGUCCAGGUGCCAGCCCUACUGAUUUCAGUGAACGCAUUCCCAGACAAUCGUGCACAGAUAAUCUAUUUUGUGCGUCGCUUUACAUGUAUAAAUUAAUGACUGGACGUGGGAAAACUCUGAAGUGAUGAGAAGGAAACCCUGUAGUUUCUGAUCAAAAAAGUAAUAUAACCUAUCUUCCAUAUUUCACCCAUUCAGACAUUGUACUCCCAUGUGAGUAGGCUACUUAUGUGAGCAGCUAAUAAACGGGAGUUUGCAGGUUGUUAGGAAGAUUGU
rnacentral:lncRNA from 1 species